GGCUAAUGGUUAGGAACAGGGGCGGAGGCAGCGGCAGGGGAGAGGAAAGACAGUGCUGUGCUGCAAAGCUCAACAAUAACCUGCGUAACGGGAAGGCACAAUCGCUUACUGCAAGAGAGAAAUAGGGAGGAAUGAGAGGGCAUAUGGGAGGAAGGGCAGAGAGAUUGUGUGCGAGGCAAUUUUAGGCCUCGAGUGAGGGAAGGGGGAGGGGAGAAAUGCUGGAGAGGAGGGGGAAUCAGGGAAGGGGCAGGUGGAAGUAGCUGAGGCUAAAGGAAGUAUUAACUGUGCUGCCGAGGAGCAAGAGGGUACAUUGAGAGGAAAGAAGGGGAAUAUGUGAGGGGGUAAGUGGUUGAGGGAGGUAUAAAGAGCUGUGGAAGAGGAGGGGCAUUUUUAGGCCACUGCUGUGGAGAUUUCACUCAGGCCGACUGUAGCGCUGCCCUAUAAUUCUGUGCCCCCACCGCCCUCUGUAUCAACUGAUAACAGCAGAACAGAAUAAUGGAUAAAGAAUGGAAACCUCAUUCCUCUACUGGUUUCUAGCCAUCUUCUCAAAAGAGCCAAACCACACUUUUGAACUCCAGCACCAAACCAUUGCUAUGGUGAGGGCCCCAUGAUCCGACGUCGCCAGGGUAGAAACAGAGUAAGCACAUGAGCACAACAUACGGUUGUAUUAGCAUUUCACUUGAGUGCCUGGCGCCUCAGAAGCAGCAGCAAUAGUCUGGCUUCCCCCUUUCUGAACUGAGGCAACAAAAUUUUACAUGGAAGAGGAGCACAGCACAUUAAAUUAACAGAGGUAGGGUAGGACUAUGGCAGCCUGCAGCCCAAUCACAAGGCGUGUGCAGUGUUGCUUCUUUCUGAGCUGCAAGUUUUAGGGACAGGACAGGAAUCCACUUCUGUUGCCGCCUGAGCUGCCUGCAGGGAUGCUUUUGCAUCUUGCUUGUUUUUGAGAAGUAUAAUUAUCAACAAGGAGCGUGACAGAGAAUGUGGUCUGUGGUCAGAGCCUCAGAUGACAAGGUAUCAUCAUGACGUAAAAAACACACACAUCGGCUUGCAAGGCUGGGAGUAUGGUGGCUCUGUGGUUGGCCGCUUGCUCAUGCCUUGCCUGUGCCCUUUUCUGUUUAAAAAUUACACACACACUUUUGUGGGAAUAGGAAAGGGUAGAGAAGGUGUGUCUGCACAUCCCUGGCCUUCUCUUCGUGUUGCUGCCUUCCUUGGAAACUUGCAGGGCUCAUGUACCUUAAGAAAAAACAUUUUUAUGCAGGGUUGCUGGAUGUGAAUUAGGGAAUCGGGGCUGGAUUUUUAAAAGAGGGAAUCAAUGUUUAAACUGAAAUUCCUUCCUUCUUCUUCUCCCAGCUUUAUUACAUUCUCAAAUAUCUAACCCCCCCCCACAAGUUUUCAUUUUUUUUAAAGGCGGCAUAUAAUGGGUUGAUUUCAUCUUUUUAGUUACAUGAUAAAAUAACUGUGUUUCAUAAAUUACCAAUCUUAUAUGGUAGGUGUAGAGAACUUUUGGCCCUCCAGAUAUAUGCUGAACUACAGUUCCCAUCUGCCCCAGCCAGCGGCGUAGCGUGGGUUGUCAGCACCCGGGGCAAGGCAAGUAAUUUGCGCCCCCUAACCCGGGGCAAGGCAAGUAAUUUGCGCCCCCUAACCCCUAACGUGCCGUCGCUGCCAGCUUCUUGCUGCUGCCUGGGCUGGUCUGGUGUGGUUCUCUCCCGCGCUCAGCACUGUGCUGGGCGGCCGCUGCACUGUCCCUCCCCCAGAUAGUCCCUCGCUCUCUCUCCGCACCGCACGCCUGGCACCCACCCCCUCCACAGUGGGCGGCGACCCAGCGGCUCGGAUCGGAUUCGCACAGCCAGCACUGCAGUGAGAGAGAGUGAGUGAGCCAGGCAGGGGCAGAGAGCUG
rnacentral:lncRNA from 1 species